rnacentral:rRNA from 1 species
GAUGAACGCUGGCGGCAGGCCUAACACAUGCAAGUCGAGCGGAUGAGUGGAGCUUGCUCCAUGAUUCAGCGGCGGACGGCGAGUAAUGCCUAGGAAUCUGCCUGGUAGUGGGGGACAACGUUUCGAAAGGAACGCUAAUACCGCAUACGUCCUACGGGAGAAAGUGGGGGAUCUUCGGACCUCACGCUAUCAGAUGAGCCUAGGUCGGAUUAGCUAGUUGGUGAGGUAAAGGCUCACCAUGGCGACGAUCCGUAACUGGUCUGAGAGGAUGAUCAAUCACACUGGAACUGAGACACGGUCCAGACUCCUACGGGAGUCAGCAGUGGGGAAGAUUGGACAAUGGGCGGAAGCCUGAUCCAUCCAUGCCGCGUGUGUGAAGAAGGUCUUCGGAUUGUAAAGCACUUUAAGUUGGGAGGAAGGGCAGUAAGUUAAGACCUUGCUGUUUUGACGUUACCAACAGAAUAAGCACCGGCUAACUUCGUGCCAGCCGCCGCGGUAAAAC